rnacentral:rRNA from 1 species
UACGUAGGGUGCGAGCGUUGUCCGGAAUUAUUGGGCGUAAAGAGCUCGUAGGCGGUGUGUUACGUCGGCCGUGAAAACCUGCAGCUUAACUGUGGGCGUGCGGUCGAUACGGGCAUCACUGGAGUUCGGAAGGGGAGACUGGAAUUCCUGGUGUAGCGGUGAAAUGCGCAGAUAUCAGGAGGAACACCGGUGGCGAAGGCGGGUCUCUGGGCCGAUACUGACGCUGAGGAGCGAAAGCGUGGGGAGCAAACAGG